AGUUGGUAUCUCAGUGGUAGAGUGCAUGUUGGUAUGUAUGAUGUCCUGGGUUCAAUCCCCAGCUUCUGACCA
rnacentral:tRNA from 1 species